CAUAAUGUUUGACCAUUAAAGAUACAUCUCAUUUAUGGACUAUGGUUAAAUAAUUUGCUAGUGUUGUAGUACUUGGAAGGAACUAUGUCAUUAUAUUGAUGUGGAACCGCCUUGACUCGCAUUAGUAAGUUGUUUAAUUAUGGUAUUAUGAUGACCCAACUGACUAUGGAUUAGAAUGAUGCGCGCCUAAUGUUUAUAUCAUUUCUAACCAAAGUAUGGUCAUAUGGGCCAAGUGGGAGAAUGUUGGGUUUUGACCCACAUGACCACAUCGUGGUCAGUUACGAUUCCGUGAAAAGUGGAAGCAUUAUCCUUGAUGGUAGGAUAACAUAACGGGUCUCACCCUCUGCCUAGCAAGUGAACAGAAAAUUGGACUCCAUCUCCUGAGUGUUCGAACAGGGGCCAAGAGGGAGAUACGAACUAAGGACUUGAUCAUCCAGAAAACAAAGGAAGCUUUGAUCGUUCAGUCUAUCAUGGAUCCAAGUAUGCUUCCUUUCAAGAUUGGUUCUAUUAUGAUCCUAUUUAAGAUGAUUUUAUCAAAGGACUGAAGAAAGAGAACCUGGUAAGGUAAAUGAUCCAAAAGUAAAUGCAUGAGGAUAUACCAACACCCAAUAUUCAGGCCUGGUAACUUAAACUUUUACAAGAAGGGUAUGGCAAGUGGAGCAUUGCUCAGUUCACAUCUACCCUACAUAGUCAUCAUUGCCUCA
rnacentral:lncRNA from 1 species